CACGAAGUUGGAAUUGCUAGUAAUCGUGGAUCNGCGUGCCACGGUGAAUACGUUCCCGGGUCUUGUACACACCGCCCGUCACACCAUGGGAGCUGGUAACACCCGAAGUCAGUAGUCUAACCGCAAGGAGGACGCUGCCGAAGGUGGGAUUAGCGACUGGGGUGAAGUCGUAACAAGGUAAC
rnacentral:rRNA from 1 species